CCUACGGGUGGCAGCAGUGAGGAAUAUUGGUCAAUGGGCGCGAGCCUGAACCAGCCAAGUAGCGUGAAGGAUGACUGCCCUACGGGUUGUAACCUUCUUUUAUAAAGGAAUAAAGUGAGGCAUGUGUGCCUUUUUGUCUGUACUUUAUGAAUAAGGAUCAGCUAACUCCGUGCCAGCAGCCGCGGUAAUACGGAGGUUCCGAGCGUUUUCCGGAUUUAUUGGGUUUAAAGGGAGCGUAGAUGGGUUGUUAAGUCAGUUGUGAAAGUUUGCGGCUCAACCGUAAAAUUGCAAUUGAUACUGGCAGGCUUGAGUACAGUUGAGGUAGGCGGAAUUCGUGGUGUAGCGGUGAAAUGCUUAGAUAUCACGAAGAACUCCGAUGGCGAAGGCAGCCUACUAAACUGCAACUGACAUUGAUGCUCGAAAGUGUGGGUAGCAAACAGGAUUAGAUACCCUUGUAGUC
rnacentral:rRNA from 1 species